GACGAACGCUGGCGGCGUGCUUAACACAUGCAAGUCGAACGGUGACCCAUCUUCGGAUGGUGAUCAGUGGCGAACGGGUGAGUAACACGUGGGCAACCUGCUCCUCGCUCUGGGAUAACUCCUCGAAAGAGGUGCUAAUACCGGAUAUCACCCUCCUGGACAGCCAAGGUGGUUGAAAGUGUUUCGGCUAGGGAUGGGCCCGCGGCCUAUCAGCUUGUUGGUGGGGUAAUGGCCUACCAAGGCGACGACGGGUAGCCGGCCUGAGAGGGCGACCGGCCACACUGGGACUGAGACACGGCCCAGACUCCUACGGGAGGCAGCAGUGGGGAAUAUUGCGCAAUGGGCGAAAGCCUGACGCAGCAACGCCGCGUGAGGGAUGACGGCCUUCGGGUUGUAAACCUCUUUCAGCAGGGACGAAGCGAAAGUGACUGUACCUGCAGAAGAAGCGCCGGCUAACUACGUGCCAGCCGCCGCAGUAACAC
rnacentral:rRNA from 1 species